AGAACGAACGCUGGCGGCAGGCUUAACACAUGCAAGUCGAGCGCCCCCGCAAGGGGAGCGGCAGACGGGUGAGUAACGCGUGGGAAUCUACCUAGCUCUUCGGAAUAGCUCCGGGAAACUGGAAUUAAUACCGAGUACGCCCUACGGGGGAAAGAUUUAUCGGAGUUAGAUGAGCCCGCGUUGGAUUAGCUAGUUGGUGGGGUAAUGGCCUACCAAGGCGACGAUCCAUAGCUGGUCUGAGAGGAUGAUCAGCCACACUGGGACUGAGACACGGCCCAGACUCCUACGGGAGGCAGCAGUGGGGAAUAUUGGACAAUGGGCGCAAGCCUGAUCCAGCCAUGCCGCGUGAGUGAUGAAGGCCCUAGGGUUGUAAAGCUCUUUCAGUGGGGAAGAUAAGUGACGGUACCCAACAGAAGAACGCCCCGGACUAACUUCGUGCCAGCAGCCG
rnacentral:rRNA from 1 species